rnacentral:misc_RNA from 1 species
AAAGUCGUAACAAGGUUUCCGUAGGUGAACCUGCGGAAGGAUCAUUAACACGUAUCCAUACGUAUUAUAUACCAAACCGUGAACUUGUUUGAAAAUAAACUGAAGAAGGGGGAAGCGAGAAAUCGUGACUUUCUUCUUGUAUCUUAUUUCAACUUAUAAACCACUUGUAACCAAUUGUACUAAACAAACUAAGAAAGUGUAGUCUGUGUGUGUUCUAAACAACAUACGCUUCUUCGCUUUUUGUAUUUACGAAACGUAAAAACAAUUCUUAGCAACGGAUAUCUUGGUUCUC